rnacentral:lncRNA from 1 species
CAUUUAGCAGACAGAAUCAAUAGAGUUGAUGAGUGACUGACUGGAUGUGUGGGGAGUUUAUAUCACUCCCAGGUUUUUGACUUGGGCAACCGGGCACUCAAGAAGGAAAAAGAGGAUCCAGGGAGAGGAACUUUUCUGAGGACUGGGGUAGGGCUGAACAGCUGCAUUCGAGACUGGUGGAGGGUGGGCUGGGCAUGGGAUGCACAAAUGGAAAUUCCACUGGGUCUGCAGCUCACACAUAGGCAUGACCAGCAUAGAGAUAGAGAGGCCCCAGUGCUGCUGAGUAACUGUGAUUCCCCAGGUGAUGGCAUCAGCUGAGAAGGGAAGGAAGCCCAUGUGAGGACACUGAAGAAGGAGUGAGCAGACAAUAAGAAGCCCACAGAAGACAGAGAAGGAACAACUAGAGGGAGAAGCCAAGGCAGACACUACCCAAAGCAGUCCUUCACUACAGUGGCAGACAGACCUGAAAAUUUUCAUCUGAAGCAGCAGAGUGAA